rnacentral:rRNA from 1 species
UGAUUGACACGACUCUCGGCAAUGGAUAUCUCGGCUCUCGCAUCGAUGAAGAGCGCAGCGAAAUGCGAUAUGUGGUGCGAAUUGCAGAAUCCCGCGAACCAUCGAGUCUUUGAACGCAAGUUGCGCCCGAGGCCAACCGGCCAAGGGCACGUCUGCCUGGGCGUCAAG